AUUACCCUUAAGUGCUGCCUCGGUGGUUGGGCAUCUGCACUUAGAACCCAGCAGAGUCUUCGCCCUUCUGAUAUCAAGAUAUCCAUGGGCCUGCCUCCCGCCGUCCCUCCCUCACCCUACCCUCCGCCCAAGAACCUGUGGAAUUCAGUCAGACGCCAGAGACUCCAGGAAGGUCCUAGAGAAGAGGCGAUCAGGGGUGAGACUCUCUCAAUCAUUUAUUGCAGCUCUCAUUGGCUUUCCUAGAAUCAGCCAGAGCUGAAAUCUGAUUGUGGAACCUUGGAUUCUGGAUUGCGGGGGUAUGGACCCAGGGAACAUUUAUUAAGCAAGACUAUAUGUAAUGUCCACUUAAUUCUCACUGCACACUGGCGUUCUUAUUACUUUUGCUUAGGGAACUGAGGCUCAGAGAGGCUGAGAUUGUCCAGCCUGCAAGCAGUGGAGCAUGCAUCAAAUCGAGACCAGCCCAAUUCCACAGCCUGUGUUCAUUCCACUCAACUUCACAGCCUCUCUUCAAGGUCUUGAUGAGGGGGUCUCACCUCAUACACACUCUCCAGAUCUAACACUUGCCUAGUCAAAACAAAUGGAGUGAUAAUCAGAGCUUGCUUUUGUGCAGCGUGUUGCAGUGGGUGCCAGCCUUCCCCAGCCCCUCCCUGGCUGGAAUACAAACACCUUCCUCAGGUAAGCUAAGCUCUACCACGAUUCUAAGCUUACUCUGAUAGAAAAGAGUGAGAUGAGAGCCUCAUCUCUGCCUGAGGGAGUCGGGGGGCAUUCUUCCUGCUGCUGCGUAAGUGGAAACUGCCACGUGACCUACAGCCAUCUCCUUCCCCUCGUUCUGCUGGAGAGAUCCACGCACCUGGUUUUCACUUCAGCAACUCUGCUCAUCCUUGCUGUGGCAGAUCCCUCUUCUCAAUCCCAGCAGCACGCCUGGGCAGGAGCAGGGACAGGCAGUCCCGCUCCCAAUGGAGCCCUUGGCUAGACCCACAGUGUUCCCACCCACCUGACUUGAAAAUAUCCACAGCCGUUGCUUUCCUGAGCGUCUGCUAUGUAGGGGCCUGUCUCCAUGCUAGGUACUUUACAUAAAUCAUGCUAUUUAAUUCUCUCAACAAUCCCUUCCUUCAAAUAUUUAUUUUGCACUUCCUGAGUGCUAGGCACUGUCCGAGGGAUGCAGCAAAGAAC
rnacentral:lncRNA from 1 species